rnacentral:rRNA from 1 species
UACGUAGGGUGCGAGCGUUAAUCGGAAUUACUGGGCGUAAAGCGUGCGUAGGCGGUUCGUUAAGUGCGUCGUGAAAGCCCCGGGCUCAACCUGGGAAUGGCGAUGGAAACUGGCGGGCUGGAGUAUGGCAGAGGGGGGUGGAAUUCCGCGUGUAGCAGUGAAAUGCGUAGAUAUGUGGAGGAAUACCGAUGGCGAAGGCAGCCCCCUGGGAUAACACUGACGCUCAUGCACGAAAGCGUGGGGAGCAAACAGG